rnacentral:rRNA from 1 species
UUAAGUUAUUAAGGGCGCACGGUGGAUGCCUUGGCACUAGAAGCCGAUGAAGGACGUUACUAACGACGAUAUGCUUUGGGGAGCUGUAAGUAAGCUUUGAUCCAGAGAUUUCCGAAUGGGGAAACCCAGCAUGAGUUAUGUCAUGUUAUCGAUAUGUGAAUACAUAGCAUAUCAGAAGGCACACCCGGAGAACUGAAACAUCUUAGUACCCGGAGGAAGAGAAAGAAAAUUCGAUUCCCUUAGUAGCGGCGAGCGAAACGGGAAGAGCCCAAACCAACAAGCUUGCUUGUUGGGGUUGUAGGACACUCUAUACGGAGUUACAAAGGACGACAUUAGACGAAUCAUCUGGAAAGAUGAAUCAAAGAAGGUAAUAAUCCUGUAGUCGAAAAUGUUGUCUCUCUUGAGUGGAUCCUGAGUACGACGGAGCACGUGAAAUUCCGUCGGAAUCUGGGAGGACCAUCUCCUAAGGCUAAAUACUCUCUAGUGACCGAUAGUGAACCAGUACCGUGAGGGAAAGGUGAAAAGCACCCCGGAAGGGGAGUGAAAUAGAACCUGAAACCGUGUGCUUACAAGUAGUCAGAGCCCGUUAAUGGGUGAUGGCGUGCCUUUUGUAGAAUGAACCGGCGAGUUACGAUUUGAUGCAAGGUUAAGGAGUAAAUGUGGAGCCGUAGCGAAAGCGAGUCUGAAUAGGGCGUUUAGUAUUUGGUCGUAGACCCGAAACCAGGUGAUCUACCCUUGGUCAGGUUGAAGUUCAGGUAACACUGAAUGGAGGACCGAACCGACUUACGUUGAAAAGUGAGCGGAUGAACUGAGGGUAGCGGAGAAAUUCCAAUCGAACCUGGAGAUAGCUGGUUCUCUCCGAAAUAGCUUUAGGGCUAGCCUCAAGUGAUGAUUAUUGGAGGUAGAGCACUGUUUGGACGAGGGGCCCCUCUCGGGUUACCGAAUUCAGACAAACUCCGAAUGCCAAUUAAUUUAACUUGGGAGUCAGAACAUGGGUGAUAAGGUCCGUGUUCGAAAGGGAAACAGCCCAGACCACCAGCUAAGGUCCCAAAAUAUAUGUUAAGUGGAAAAGGAUGUGGCGUUGCCCAGACAACUAGGAUGUUGGCUUAGAAGCAGCCAUCAUUUAAAGAGUGCGUAAUAGCUCACUAGUCGAGUGACACUGCGCCGAAAAUGUACCGGGGCUAAACAUAUUACCGAAGCUGUGGAUUGUCCUUUGGACAAUGGUAGGAGAGCGUUCUAAGGGCGUUGAAGCAUGAUCGUAAGGACAUGUGGAGCGCUUAGAAGUGAGAAUGCCGGUGUGAGUAGCGAAAGACGGGUGAGAAUCCCGUCCACCGAUUGACUAAGGUUUCCAGAGGAAGGCUCGUCCGCUCUGGGUUAGUCGGGUCCUAAGCUGAGGCCGACAGGCGUAGGCGAUGGAUAACAGGUUGAUAUUCCUGUACCACCUAUAAUCGUUUUAAUCGAUGGGGGGACGCAGUAGGAUAGGCGAAGCGUGCGAUUGGAUUGCACGUCUAAGCAGUAAGGCUGAGUAUUAGGCAAAUCCGGUACUCGUUAAGGCUGAGCUGUGAUGGGGAGAAGACAUUGAGUCUUCGAGUCGUUGAUUUCACACUGCCGAGAAAAGCCUCUAGAUAGAAAAUAGGUGCCCGUACCGCAAACCGACACAGGUAGUCAAGAUGAGAAUUCUAAGGUGAGCGAGCGAACUCUCGUUAAGGAACUCGGCAAAAUGACCCCGUAACUUCGGGAGAAGGGGUGCUCUUUAGGGUUAACGCCCAGAAGAGCCGCAGUGAAUAGGCCCAAGCGACUGUUUAUCAAAAACACAGGUCUCUGCUAAACCGUAAGGUGAUGUAUAGGGGCUGACGCCUGCCCGGUGCUGGAAGGUUAAGAGGAGUGGUUAGCUUCUGCGAAGCUACGAAUCGAAGCCCCAGUAAACGGCGGCCGUAACUAUAACGGUCCUAAGGUAGCGAAAUUCCUUGUCGGGUAAGUUCCGACCCGCACGAAAGGCGUAACGAUUUGGGCACUGUCUCAACGAGAGACUCGGUGAAAUCAUAGUACCUGUGAAGAUGCAGGUUACCCGCGACAGGACGGAAAGACCCCGUGGAGCUUUACUGUAGCCUGAUAUUGAAAUUCGGCACAGCUUGUACAGGAUAGGUAGGAGCCUUUGAAACGUGAGCGCUAGCUUACGUGGAGGCGCUGGUGGGAUACUACCCUAGCUGUGUUGGCUUUCUAACCCGCACCACUUAUCGUGGUGGGAGACAGUGUCAAGCGGGCAGUUUGACUGGGGCGGUCGCCUCCUAAAAGGUAACGGAGGCGCUCAAAGGUUCCCUCAGAAUGGUUGGAAAUCAUUCAUAGAGUGUAAAGGCAUAAGGGAGCUUGACUGCGAGACCUACAAGUCGAGCAGGGUCGAAAGACGGACUUAGUGAUCCGGUGGUUCCGCAUGGAAGGGCCAUCGCUCAACGGAUAAAAGCUACCCCGGGGAUAACAGGCUUAUCUCCCCCAAGAGUUCACAUCGACGGGGAGGUUUGGCACCUCGAUGUCGGCUCAUCGCAUCCUGGGGCUGUAGUCGGUCCCAAGGGUUGGGCUGUUCGCCCAUUAAAGCGGUACGCGAGCUGGGUUCAGAACGUCGUGAGACAGUUCGGUCCCUAUCCGUCGUGGGCGUAGGAAAUUUGAGAGGAGCUGUCCUUAGUACGAGAGGACCGGGAUGGACAUACCUCUGGUGUACCAGUUGUCGUGCCAACGGCAUAGCUGGGUAGCUAUGUGUGGACGGGAUAAGUGCUGAAAGCAUCUAAGCAUGAAGCCCCCCUCAAGAUGAGAUUUCCCAACUUCGGUUAUAAGAUCCCUCAAAGAUGAUGAGGUUAAUAGGUUCGAGGUGGAAGCAUGGUGACAUGUGGAGCUGACGAAUACUAAUCGAUCGAAGACUUAAUC